GACGAACGCUGGCGGCGUGCUUAACACAUGCAAGUCGAACGGAAAGGCCCUGCUUUUGUGGGGUGCUCGAGUGGCGAACGGGUGAGUAACACGUGAGUAACCUGCCCUUGACUUUGGGAUAACUUCAGGAAACUGGGGCUAAUACCGGAUAGGAGCUCCUGCUGCAUGGUGGGGGUUGGAAAGUUUCGGCGGUUGGGGAUGGACUCGCGGCUUAUCAGCUUGUUGGUGGGGUAGUGGCUUACCAAGGCUUUGACGGGUAGCCGGCCUGAGAGGGUGACCGGCCAGCGUGGGACGGGGAUGCGGCCCAGCAGUGUGGGGGGGGGAGGGGUGGGGAAGAGGGGACGGCGGGGGGGGGACGGAUGCAGCGAGGCGGCGUGGGGGCGGACGGCGGGCGGGUGGGAGGCCGCGUUCGGCGGGGAGGAAGGGUUGGUGAGGGUGGUGGGAAAGGAGGCAGGGGGUAACGACGGGGCAGCCGCCGUGGUAAUACUAGGAAGAGCACACGUCCGAAC
rnacentral:rRNA from 1 species